rnacentral:lncRNA from 1 species
UACUUAAUAGAAAAAAUGUAUUAGAGGGCUAUAUCUUAUCAAUGCGGUAAAGUUAAAAACUUCAUUAUAGAUUAUAAAGAAAGUGGAUAAUUGCUAAAUCUUUUUUCAUUAGGUUGCACUACUAAAACCUUUAUGCUAGAGAAUGGAAAUAGUCAUAUCAGUGAUGCAAAUAAUAGCAAAGAAUUAUGUAACUAAAUAGCUCAAGUGGUUCCAUG